rnacentral:rRNA from 1 species
ACGGGUGAGGAAUACAUCGGAAUCUGCCUUAUUGUGGGGGAUAACGUAGGGAAACUUACGCUAAUACCGCAUAGGACCGAAAGGUGAAAGUGGGGGACCGCAAGGCCUCACGCGAUAAGAUGAGCCGAUGUCGGAUUAGCUAGUUGGUGAGGUAAUGGCUCACCAAGGCGACGAUCCGUAGCUGGUCUGAGAGGAUGAUCAGCCACACUGGAACUGAGACACGGUCCAGACUCCUACGGGAGGCAGCAGUGGGGAAUAUUGGACAAUGGGCGCAAGCCUGAUCCAGCCAUGCCGCGUGGGUGAAGAAGGCCUUCGGGUUGUAAAGCCCUUUUGUUGGGGAAGAAAUCGUACGGGGUAAUAUCCCGUGCGGAUGACGGUACCCAAAGAAUAAGCACCGGCUAACUUCGUGCCAGCAGCCGCGGUAAUACGAAGGGUGCAAGCGUUACUCGGAAUUACUGGGCGUAAAGCGUGCGUAGGCGGUUCGUUAAGUCUGUCGUGAAAGCCCUGGGCUCAACCUGGGAAUUGCGAUGGAUACUGGCGAGCUAGAGUACGGUAGAGGAUGGUGGAAUUCCCGGUGUAGCGGUGAAA